UUGGAAACAGUUGCUAAGACUGGAUAGGAAAUAAAAAGGCAUCUUUUUAUUUUUAAAAGACCUUUUUCGGAAGGUAUGCUUAAAGAGGGGCUUGCGUCACAUUAGUUAGUUGGCAGGGUAAAGGCCUACCAAGACUAUGAUGUGUAGCUGGACUGAGAGGUUGAACAGCCACAUUGGGACUGAGACACGGCCCAAACUCCUACGGGAGGCAGCAGUAGGGAAUUUUCGGCAAUGGAGGAAACUCUGACCGAGCAACGCCGCGUGAACGAUGAAGUAUUUCGGUAUGUAAAGUUCUUUUAUUGAAGAAGAAAAAAUAGUGGAAAAACUAUCUUGACGAUAUUCAAUGAAUAAGCCCCGGCAAACUAUGUGCCAGCAGCCGCGGUAAUACAUAGGGGGCGAGCGUUAUCCGGAAUUAUUGGGCGUAAAGGGUGCGUAGGCGGUUUAAUAAGUCUAUAGUUUAAUUUCAGUGCUUAACACUGUCCUGCUAUAGAAACUAUUAGACUAGAGUGAGAUAGAGGCAAGUGGAAUUCCAUGUGUAGCGGUAAAAUGCGUAAAUAUAUGGAGGAACACCAGAGGCGUAGGCGGCUUGCUGGGUCUUUACUGACGCUGAGGCACGAAAGCGUGGGGAGCAAACAGGAUUAGAUACCCUGGUAGUCCACGCCGUAAACGAUGAGUACUAAGUGUCGGGAUUACUCGGUACUGAAGUUAACACAUUAAGUACUCCGCCUGAGUAGUACGUACGCAAGUAUGAAACUUAAAGGAAUUGACGGGACUCCGCACAAGCGGUGGAUCAUGUUGUUUAAUUCGAAGAUACACGAAAAACCUUACCAGGUCUUGACAUACUCUGCAAAGCUAUAGCAAUAUAGUGGAGGUUAUCAGGGAUACAGGUGGUGCAUGGUUGUCGUCAGCUCGUGUCGUGAGAUGUUAGGUUAAGUCCUAAAACGAGCGCAACCCUUGUCAUUAGUUGCCAGCAUGUCACGAUGGGCACUUUAAUGAGACUGCCAAUGAAAAAUUGGAGGAAGGUGAGGAUCACGUCAAAUCAUCAUGCCCCUUAUGAUCUGGGCUACAAACGUGAUACAAUGGCUGUUACAAAGAGUAGCUGAAACGCAAGUUUAUAGCCAAUCUCAUAAAAGCAGUCUCAGUUCGGAUUGAAGUCUGCAACUCGACUUCAUGAAGUUGGAAUCGCUAGUAAUCGCGAAUCAGCAUGUCGCGGUGAAUACGUUCUCGGGGUUUGUACACACCGCCCGUCAAACCAC
rnacentral:rRNA from 1 species